GGGAGGAAAAGAAACCAACUGGGAUUACCUUAGUAACGGCGAGUGAAGCGGUAAAAGCUCAAAUUUGAAAUCUGGUACUUUCAGUGCCCGAGUUGUAAUUUGUAGAAUUUGUCUUUGAUUAGGUCCUUGUCUAUGUUCCUUGGAACAGGACGUCAUAGAGGGUGAGAAUCCCGUUUGGCGAGGAUACCUUUUCUCUGUAAGACUUUUUCGAAGAGUCGAGUUGUUUGGGAAUGCAGCUCAAAGUGGGUGGUAAAUUCCAUCUAAAGCUAAAUAUUGGCGAGAGACCGAUAGCGAACAAGUACAGUGAUGGAAAGAUGAAAAGAACUUUGAAAAGAGAGUGAAAAAGUACGUGAAAUUGUUGAAAGGGAAGGGCAUUUGAUCAGACAUGGUGUUUUUUGCAUGCACUCGCCUCUCGUGGGCUUGGGCCUCUCAAAAAUUUCACUGGGCCAACAUCAAUUCUGGCAGCAGGAUAAAUCAUUAAGAAUGUAGCUACUUCGGUAGUGUUAUAGCUUUUUGGAAUACUGUUAGCCGGGAUUGAGGACUGCGCUUCGGCAAGGAUGUUGGCAUAAUGGUUAAAUGCCGCCCGUCUG
rnacentral:rRNA from 1 species